CACACACACACGAGUUGGACUGUUCUGUCUCAAACACUUUUCGCUCUCUGUUCACACUACCAAACCUAACCCCUGCUCACUACCGAUGCUCAUCACCGUCGUUGGCCACCUGCACAUCACCACCGCCACUUAAUCACAACAUUUCCACUGGAAUGUGGACCGAUCUCACACCUAGCUGUAGACGACAAAGUUAUCUCCAAUCCUAGGGUGAAUAGAAACUUGACGACUCGGUUUUGAUGCGUAAUAUUAGAAGACUUAGCAGCAGAGGACCUGUUGUUCGGAUACUCUAAAGGACUUCAUUCUGACGUGGAAAAGAUAGUUUUUGGCACCGAGCAUAGAGUUGUGGAUCUUCCAUUUUUGUAUACGGAGGACAAUUUACACUUUUGUAUACUCUUGUUUGUUUGUCAUCCUCUGCUUUUUGUGUAGAUUUGUAUUAAUUGUAUAGAAUACUUUUGGCGGGAUACAUAAUACUUUUGCCAUCGAACAGAUAAUUAUUGUCGUGAUAUAUUGAUUACCUUUUGUCGUGGUACAGAUUACCAUGGUAUUUUGUACCAUGCCAAAUGGCCAUUUGGCAUUGUAGUAAAUAUAUUUUUGUAUACGGAGGACAAAAUUGCCCUAUGAUUAUUUGUUUUGUAUG